rnacentral:rRNA from 1 species
AAAGUUACUUCGGUACAUCGGUGACAGGCGGUGCAUGGUUGUCGUCAGCUCGUGUCGUGAGAUGUUGGGUUAAGUCCCGCAACGAGCGCAACCCCUAUUGUUAGUUGCCAUCAUUCAGUUGGGCACUCUAGCGAGACUGCCGGUAAUAAACCGGAGGAAGGUGGGGAUGACGUCAAAUCAUCAUGCCCCUUAUGACCUGGGCUACACACGUGCUACAAUGGUUGGUACAACGAGUUGCGAGUCGGUGACGGCGAGCUAAUCUCUUAAAGCCAAUCUCAGUUCGGAUUGUAGGCUGCAACUCGCCUACAUGAAGUCGGAAUCGCUAGUAAUCGCGGAUCAGCACGCCGCGGUGAAUACGUUCCCGGGCCUU